rnacentral:rRNA from 1 species
GAUGAACGCUGGCGGCGUGCCUAAUACAUGCAAGUCGAGCGAACAGACGAGGAGCUUGCUCCUCUGACGUUAGCGGCGGACGGGUGAGUAACACGUGGAUAACCUACCUAUAAGACUGGGAUAACUUCGGGAAACCGGAGCUAAUACCGGAUAAUAUAUUGAACCGCAUGGUUCAAUAGUGAAAGACGGUUUUGCUGUCACUUAUAGAUGGAUCCGCGCCGCAUUAGCUAGUUGGUAAGGUAACGGCUUACCAAGGCAACGAUGCGUAGCCGACCUGAGAGGGUGAUCGGCCACACUGGAACUGAGACACGGUCCAGACUCCUACGGGAGGCAGCAGUAGAGAAUCUUCCGCAAUGGGCGAAAGCCUGACGGAGCAACGCCGCGUGAGUGACGAAGGUCUUCGGAUCGUAAAACUCUGUUAUUAGGGAAGAACAAAUGUGUAAGUAACUAUGCACGUCUUGACGGUACCUAAUCAGAAAGCCACGGCUAACUACGUG